rnacentral:rRNA from 1 species
GUGAUAGCUGGUUCUCUCCGAAAUAUAUUUAGGUAUAGCGUUGUGUCGUAAUAUAAGGGGGUAGAGCACUGAAUGGGCUAGGGCAUACACCAAUGUACCAAACCCUAUCAAACUCCGAAUACCUUAUAUGUAAUCACAGCAGUCAGGCGGCGAGUGAUAAAAUCCGUCGUCAAGAGGGAAACAACCCAGACUACCAGCUAAGGUCCCUAAAUCUUACUUAAGUGGAAAACGAUGUGAAGUUACUUAAACAACCAGGAGGUUGGCUUAGAAGCAGCCAUCCUUUAAAGAAAGCGUAAUAGCUCACUGGUCUAGUGAUUUUGCGCGGAAAAUAUAACGGGGCUAAAGUAAGUACCGAAGCUGUAGACUUGCACACAACUUAGAUUAUUUAAGUUUAGAAUAUGAGAAACUAAGUUAUAUGUUUAGUUAUAUUUUUACUGAUUUUUAUAGAGUAAAGAUAGAAAUAAAACUUAGUAAAAUCAGUAAAAAUAUUCUUAGACUAAAGUUAAGUAGUUUAAGUUGUGUGCAAGUGGUAGGAGAGCGUUCUAUUUGCGUCGAAGGUAUACCGGUAAGGAGUGCUGGAGCGAAUAGAAGUGAGCAUGCAGGCAUGAGUAGCGAUAAUUAAUGUGAGAAUCAUUAACGCCGUAAACCCAAGGUUUCCUACGCGAUGCUCGUCAUCGUAGGGUUAGUCGGGUCCUAAGUCGAGUCCGAAAGGGGUAGACGAUGGCAAAUUGGUUAAUAUUCCAAUACCAACAUUAGUGUGCGAUGGAAGGACGCUUAGGGCUAAGGGGGCUAGCGGAUGGAAGUGCUAGUCUAAGGUCGUAGGAGGUUAUACAGGCAAAUCCGUAUAACAAUACUCCGAGAACUGAAAGGCUUUUUGAAGUCUUCGGAUGGAUAGAAGAACCCCUGAUGCCGUCGAGCCAAGAAAAGUUUCUAAGUUUAGCUAAUGUUGCCCGUACCGUAAACCGACACAGGUGGGUGGGAUGAGUAUUCUAAGGCGCGUGGAAGAACUCUCUUUAAGGAACUCUGCAAAAUAGCACCGUAUCUUCGGUAUAAGGUGUGGUUAGCUUUGUAUUAGGAUUUACUCCGAAAGCAAGGAAACUUACAACAAAGAGUCCCUCCCGACUGUUUACCAAAAACACAGCACUCUGCUAACUCGUAAGAGGAUGUAUAGGGUGUGACGCCUGCCCGGUGCUCGAAGGUUAAUUGAUGGGGUUAGCAUUAGCGAAGCUCUUGAUCGAAGCCCGAGUAAACGGCGGCCGUAACUAUAACGGUCCUAAGGUAGCGAAAUUCCUUGUCGGUUAAAUAUCGACCUGCAUGAAUGGCGUAACGAGAUGGGAGCUGUCUCAAAGAGGGAUCCAGUGAAAUUGUAGUGGAGGUGAAAAUUCCUCCUACCCGCGGCAAGACGGAAAGACCCCGUGGACCUUUACUACAGCUUGACACUGCUACUUGGAUAAGAAUGUGCAGGAUAGGUGGGAGGCUUUGAGUAUAUGACGCCAGUUGUAUAUGAGCCAUUGUUGAGAUACCACUCUUUCUUAUUUGGGUAGCUAACCAGCUUGAGUUAUCCUCAAGUGGGACAAUGUCUGGUGGGUAGUUUGACUGGGGCGGUCGCCUCCCAAAUAAUAACGGAGGCUUACAAAGGUUGGCUCAGAACGGUUGGAAAUCGUUCGUAGAGUAUAAAGGUAUAAGCCAGCUUAACUGCAAGACAUACAAGUCAAGCAGAGACGAAAGUCGGUCUUAGUGAUCCGGUGGUUCUGUGUGGAAGGGCCAUCGCUCAAAGGAUAAAAGGUACCCCGGGGAUAACAGGCUGAUCUCCCCCAAGAGCUCACAUCGACGGGGAGGUUUGGCACCUCGAUGUCGGCUCAUCGCAUCCUGGGGCUGGAGCAGGUCCCAAGGGUAUGGCUGUUCGCCAUUUAAAGCGGUACGCGAGCUGGGUUCAGAACGUCGUGAGACAGUUCGGUCCCUAUCUGCCGUGGGCGUAAGAAGAUUGAAGAGAUUUGACCCUAGUACGAGAGGACCGGGUUGAACAAACCACUGGUGUAGCUGUUGUUCUGCCAAGAGCAUCGCAGCGUAGCUAAGUUUGGAAAGGAUAAACGCUGAAAGCAUCUAAGCGUGAAGCCAACUCUAAGAUGAAUCUUCUCUAAGCUCUCUAGAAGACUACUAGUUUGAUAGGCUGGGUGUGUAAUGGAUGAAAGUCCUUUAGCUGACCAGUACUAAUAGAGCGUUUGGCUUAUCUUU